UAGAUCCCAUGGUUGAGCAGGUCGUGAUGGGGUUUAGAUCCCAUGGUUGAGCAGGUCGUGAUGGGGGUUAGAUCCCAUGGUUGAGCAGGUCGUGAUGGGGUUUAGAUCCCAUGGUUGUGAUGGGGUUUAGAUCCCAUGGUUAUGAUGGGGUUAGAUCCCAUGGUAGAGCAGGUCGUACUUGGGGAUGUUCUGAGGGUCGAUGGGACUCUGG